GACAGAGGGCGCGAGCGUUGUUCGGAAUACUGGGCGUAAAGCGCGCGUAGGCGGAUCUGUAUGUCCGUAAGUGAAAUCCCCGCCGCUCAACGGCGGGGCUGCUUGGGAAACGGCAGGGUCUGGGGACCGGUAGAGGUCGGUAGAAUUCCCGGUGUAGCGGUGGAAUGCGUAGAGACUCGGGAAGAAUACCCGUGGCGAAGGCGGCCG
rnacentral:rRNA from 1 species